rnacentral:lncRNA from 1 species
GCCAGGGCUUCCCAUUUCUCAGUGUCUAUGCCACCGUUUUUGAGGUGGUCUUUGAGCCCAUCUUUAAAUUCCUUUUCCUGCCCACCAACUUUCUGUUUUCCUUUCAUGGGUUGGGAGUAUGAUAACUGUGUUGUCGGAGGCUUUCAUGGCCGGGAUCACAGGGUUGUUGUAUGUUUUCCGGGCUGUGUGGCCAUGUUCCAGAAGUAUUCUCUCCUGACGUUUCGCCCACAUCCAUGGCAGGCAUCCUCAGAGGUUGUGAGGCAUGGAUAAACUAGGCAAGGAAGGUUAAUAUAUAUCUGUGGGAAGUCCAGGGUGUGAGAAGAGUUCUUUGUCAGUUGGAAUGUUGCGUGAAUGUUGCAAUUAAUCACUCUAAUUAGCAUUGGAAAGGUUCGUCUCUUGCCUGGGGGGCAUCCUUUGUUCAGAGUCAUUAACCGUCCCUGGAGCUCCUCUGCUCUCAGAGUGUUGCUUCCCAUGGGAAAACAAUAUUUUUGCCUUUUCUCUCUCUUUCUCUUUACAGAAUUCCUGCCAGUACUGGCGAGGGGGUCACUUGGCUUCCAUUCAGUCAUCAGAAGAUGAAAAAGAGAUUUCUAAUUACAUUAGGAAAAUCACCCGCAAUAACACGGUCUGGAUUGGUUUCCAUGCUGAACGUGUCUCCUCGAAGCUCAAGUGGGGAUGGAGUGAUGGCUUUGCAUACUUUUCUGGAUCAGCUCUUUGGGACGGCAGGAGACCCAGCUUCACCAGCACAUCCAACCAGUGCCUGGCACUCCACAAUGUGCAAGAUUCAACGGCUUCUGCCAGGUGGGCACAGGAAAAUUGCUCCAACAUAUAUCCAUACCUGUGCAAGUACCGAGCAGCAUACUAGGCCUGUGGUGGACCUUCAGCAACAAAUGGAGCGUGAAGAGAGGACAUCCCUUGAGAUCCAGCGGAAGAAGGUUACAUCUCGCAAGGCACCACAUUCCCCAAAUGUUCUAUCAUCAAAGAAAGACCUGGGGCUUUUCCCGUUCCUGGGGGUCUCUUUCAAAUCCCACUUGCUUUGUUAUUUUCUUCCCAUUUACUGCCCAAUGCCUGUACCUUUCCCUUCUUUUGAUUCCUCCCAUUCUGUAAUCCCAGUUUUCUCCAUGAAUCCUGCUCAAAGAAGGUGAAUCCCAACCUGCCUUUCCUUCCAUGGCGAAAAGCGUGCCUCUUCAGAGCCACCUCCUUGCUUGGGCAUUGAACAAACCUUGGGGCUCAGAAUGAACUUCUUCUCAUGAAGGACAUCCUCCUUGGCUCAGUCUGUAGUUUUCCAUGUGGGACAUGAAGAUGGGAAGAAAGUAAGAAGUUAUGAAAGCCAACGAAGCACAUGGGUGGGUUGGCCUCUGUCAGGCUUUUGUCUUCUCUGCUGUUUCUCUUCCCCUGAGACAAUAAUAAAUUCUUUUCUGAGCAUAAAUCUCUGAGAAUAUCUCCUGUGUUUCCAUUCAGAAAUUGGGGUUGGGACCUCAGACACGGAUACUCUUUUCCCAUCUUCUGAAAACUGCCAGGAUGCUUUUCUUUGCCAGAUAAAGGCUUUGAGUCAAUGAGACAAAAGAGAAUUCUGAGUGCUGCAGAAAAUGAAGGUUUAUUCCUAAUUGGCCAAAGAGAAUAAGUAUAGGACCCUUUCCCGUAAUUAGCGCCCCUUCCUUGAGUCAAGUUGUCUCAAGGUGGAAGUGCAGCUAACUACGAAAGUUGAAAAGUAAUGCCUCCACCUUCGUUACUUCGGUUUGGAUGGGAAUAUUUUAAUAAAUCAAACGCAGAAAUAAUCCUUAGAACAUGCUCUUUAACAACUACUAUUCACUUUUCCACAUCAUCACCAGACAAUUGGAUACAUUUCAGACAACAAUGAACAAGUUUUCUGAAGCCAUCACGGAAGAAGUCGACACUCUGUUUCCACAACCGGCGUCUCGCAGGACCCAUUCUGAUAGCCAAGCAAAGCAAUAACGUGACCCACACGUUCUUGUGAAAUGCCGAUGAUGAUUGAAAUUUCUCUCCGAGUGAUAUGAUGAUCGUCCUGAAUCAAUCUGUCAACCUUUUGCUUGUGAAACUUGGUGGUUGCUGUCACAGGACGUCCAACUCUUUGUCUGUCACGCAAGUCAGAUGUUCCCACCUCAACGUCUUUAAACUUGCCCAAUGACGCACAGGACUCACAUCAACACAGUCCCCAUAAACAGUUUACAUUCUCUGGCGAAUCUCCUUUGGGGUGACACCUUCAGUGACUGCACGUUGCUUAAGUCGCACUGACCGACCGUGUGCGCAGGGUUCCAUACUUCGCACUUUAACAACACAACCGUUCAAUGCUCAGGCUUCCCGCCAAAUGGAACUAACUGUAGAGGAGAGUCUACUGAACAAGCCAGGACCUGCCGCAGAUCAGGACUGCCAUUUGUUGAGGAGUUACGAAGGUGGAGGCAUUACUUUUCAUUCAACCCUCAUACUUUGACUACAGUGUGGCCAUCUGGAUGGCUUCCUAGUUGGGCAGGAGGGAGAGAAUCAGCUGGUUGGCCCUCUCUCCGGAGCUGUGGAGGCUCAGUGGUGCGAACCGGCCUAAGCCAAACGGCUGGGUCAGGGUGUGUGGGGAUCCGAGGGUGUGUUGGGUGGGCUGCUGCCAGUUUUCGGGGAGUCCCCAAGGUGACCACGAGGAUGGAGGCCAUUUUCAGUUCAUUGGGUCCGCCGUCCUUGGUAAAACUAUAAAUCAUCAAGUCCAAUUCAUGUGAACUUUUUAUUAGCUGUGGGGUUGAAGAUCUUUGAUAACACGUUCAUCAAGGAAUCUUGUUUAAAAACCCAGAAGCAUCCUGGAAGGAAGGGCACAGAUGGCGAGUGCAGGAUUCUUUUCCUUAUUGCCCGUGAAGCCCUGUCCAUACCUCCAACGGGAAUCCCUUCGUUCUCUUUCUCUUUGAUCUUAACACUUAGCAGAAAAAGUGGAAGGGGAGCCAAACAGUGGCAGCCUUUGCUUUGUGCCUGGCAUUGGAGCCUGUAAACAUUGGACCCAUCUCAGACGGCUUUGACAGAUGCUUUCCAAGAAAUGCUGCUCUCCAAAGUCCUGGAAGAACACAGCUGGCGGCUGGGACCUUUCCCCUUAUCUAUUCCAAUCCCCAGCUCUGCAAUUUCAUAUAUUCACAAGGAUCCCUUCUUGGUUGCUUUCUCUUCUUCGCCAGCCUUUGAUCUCCCCUUCUGUCUUAUCACCAUGCAGGCUUGUCCAAUUUAAGACCAUAAAUGCAUGCUGGUUUUAUCACAAUUUGGUGUUUUUAAUACAUCUAUUGAAAAAAAAAAUGAAGAUAAAGAUAAUCUAUAUAACAAACAAAGUCAACAAAUAAAUUAACACCAUUGUAAAGCACCGAUAGUAAAGGUAAAGGUUUCCCCUGAUGUUAAGUCCAGUCAUGUCCUACUCUGGGGGUGCUAAGCCAAAGAGCCGGCGUUGUCCAUAGACACCUCCAAGGUCAUGUGGCCACUGGCAUGACUGCAUGGAGCACCGAUACCUUCCUUCCAGAGCGGUACCUAUUGAUCUACUCACAUUUGUAUGUUUUCUAACUGUUAGGUUGGCAGAAGCUGGGGCUAACAGCGGGCACUCACUCCGCUCCCUGGAUUCAAACCUGCGACCUUUCAGUCCGUAGGUUCAUCAGCUCAGCGCUUUAACAUGCUGCACCACUGGGGGCGUCUUUUCCCCUCGUAUCCUUCCCUCCAGUGAGCAGCCACUGGGCAUGAUUUCCUGGAGGAUGGACUGGUUGGAUCUUCUUGCGGUCCAAGGCACUCUCAGGAUUUUCCUCCAGCACCAGAGUCCAAAAACAUUUCUCUUCCUUCCUUUGCUCAGCCUUCCUUAUGGUCCAGCUCUCACAUCCAUAGGUUACUCUGGGGAAGACCAUGGCUUUCACUAUGCAGACCUUCAUUGCUAAUGUGAUGUCUCUGCUCUUCACCAUUUUGUCCAGGUUGGCCAUUGCUCUCCUCCCAAGAAGGAAACGUCUUCUGAUUUCCUGGCUGCAGUCUGCAUCUGCCGUCAUCUUGGCACCUAGAAAUAUAAAGUCUGUCACUGCCUCCAUGUUUUCUCCCUUUAUUUGCCAGUUAUCAAUCAGUUUGGUUGCCAUCAUCUUGGUUUUCUUGCAACCCAGCUUUUGCCCUUUUUUCUUUCUUCCACCUUGGUGAGAAGGCUCCUCAGCUCCUCCUCGCUUUCGGCCAUCAGAGUGGUAUCAUCUGCAUACCUAAGGUUGUUCAUGUUUCUUCCAGCAAUGUUAACUCCGGCCUUGGCUUCGUGAAGCCCCGCACCUUGACCUUGUAUAGGUAAAGGUAAAGGUUUCCCCUGACGUUAAGUCCAGUCAUGUCUGACUCUGGGGGUUGGUGCUCAUCUCCAUUUCUAAGCCAAAGAGCCGGCGUUGUCCGUAGACACCUCCAAGGUCAUGUGGCCAUUGGCAUGACUGCAUGGAGCACUGUUACCUUCCCGCCAGAGCAGUACCUAUUGAUCUACUCACAUUGGCAUGCUUUCGAACUGCUAGGUUGGCAGAAGCUGGGGCUAACAGCGGGCGCUCACUCUGCUUCCGGGAUUUGAACCUGGGACCUUUCGGUCUGCAAGUUCAGCAGCUCAAUGCUUUAACACACUUCGCCACCGGGGCUCCUUGUAUGCCACCCAUUAUAAUCGAUCCUAAGGUGGAGAGGGAUUUCCCCCAUGCCUGGCUUCCCGCAACAUGGGUGGGACAGUUUCUGAAAAUGGCCCUUGCUUUGGGGUGUGACACCAUCACCGUGUUUGUUUGCCUUCCUAUAAAUAUUCCAGGGAUCGACACAUUGUACAACAAACCCUCCAGAGAGAGAGAAAGACCUUGGAUCUUCCACAGAGAGGAAAGCAGGCAGAAAGGUGAGGACCGGGGCAUCUUUUCUAGACCUUUCUCUGUCUCUUGAUUGCUCGUUCUUUUCUGAGAGCUGUGCCACUUGAAUCAUAAUGGUUAGGAAUCAAACCAAAACCACUAUCGAGCUUAAGAUGAAGGGUACGUAGUCAUAAGCCAUUUCCCUCUUUUGCAAGGCAAAGCAGCCUCAGGGAGAAAUGCACCUGUACAUAUCAUUUUAAUUCUUGUUCUGAAAUAUAAGAAAGGACACAUGCAAGUGGAUUCAUAAAUCCACGUUUAACCUUCAGUUCAGUUCUGAAACGUAAGGAAUGAAUCCAGUAUUACGAGGGAUAUCUGGAAAGUGAGGUUACAAGACAAAAAUACAGUAGAGUCUCACUUAUCCAAGGUGAAUGGGCCAGCAGAAGCUUGGAUAAGCGAAUAUCUUGGAUAAUAAGGAGGGAUUAAGGAAAAGCCUAUUAAACAUCAAAUUAGGUUAUGAUUUUACAAAUUAAGCACCAAAACAUCACGUUAUACAACAAAUUUGAUAGAAAAAGUAGUUCAAUACGUAGUAAUGUUAUGUUGUAAUUACUGUAUUUACGAAUUUAGCACCAAAAUAUCACGAUAUAUUGAAAACAUUGACUACAAAAAUGGCUUGGAUUAUCCAAAGGCUUGGAUAAGCGAGGCUUGGAUAACUGAGACUCUACUGUACAAAGAAUGAAUAUAUUAGAACAAAACUUACAUAGUGCAUGGGCACUGCACCACUUUUCCACAUAAUCACCAAUCUGGUCAAUGCACUUUGGCAUUUUUUUGAAAAUAUAUUCAUUUGUAUAUUAAAAUAAUAUUGUAACCUUACUUUUUGGACAUCCCUUGUACAACCUGGUUUGUUUCCUUGGAGGAGAAGAUAGUGGGGACUUUUCACACUUGUUGUUUGUUUCCAGAAGAACCAGAAGAUGGGACCGGUGGUCUAUUUUGGGCUCUGCCUCCUGGGCUGCCUGGCCUUCAGCCCCUCCGCGGAAGGUGAGCAAUGGGACUAUUUGGCAAAGCACCAGAGAAUAAAUGCAAUCUGACACUUUUGGGUUGCCAUGGCUCAAUGCAUUCAAAUCAUGUUGUUUGGAGAGUUGAUAUGGAAUUUAGAAUAUAAUUAUAUGAGGGAACUGCCUGGCAAGCAUUGCGCUAACCAAAGUUAAUAACCCGACCUCCGGAUUAAAGACUCACCAGGAAGUGGAGACAAAAGGCAGAGCUUUUAAUUGCAUUCUGGUUCAAGAAUGGAUGCAAGUAA